ACGAUCUGCUUCUUGACAACGAGAGAACAAUCCUCUUCUUCUUUUUCUGCAAAUAAUAAUCCCUCUACAAUCAAACUCAUUCUUUCUCUUCGAACUUCGUUAAUGUUCCUCAUCACACCUCCAAUUCCAAUUUCGAUUCUUACGACUCAGACUUCAGAGACGAUUUUGGCACGCAACAAUCGUGUUUUCUUCUUCGCUCCUCAGAAUCGUGACUCAAACCCGAACAUAAUCAUCAUGUCUUCGUUCCUCAGAAUCGUGACUUAUAACCACCAAACAGUUUCAGCUUCCAAUCAGUAAGGUAAUGAGAAAGUGCGCCAUGUAAAUCAAGCUAACCACCAUAUGUACCUUUUCCUAGGAAUUGGUUCAGGAACAAUUAUGGUAGGUGCCCAUCUUAUUACAUGGAAUGUUGCAGACAGUUGCUAAGCGGAUGCAUCUGAAGUUGCAGAGGACAUUAAGGUUUUAACUUGGAAAUGGAGUGCUCAUAAAUUGAAGAUCGCCCCGUGUUUAUAUUACGAAUGGACAUGGGACCCAGGUAUUUGUUUUGAGCGCUGAUGAGCUCUGCUGAUUUUUUUUUAGCUGCCUUGACAGUCUUGUGGUUUUUUGCUAUCAGAAGAGACUGACUUUUGCUGCUACUGGUUUUUCUCUCUUUCUGUUUGGUGUGUUUUGUGGGAGUGGACUUGGUUUUAUUGUUUUGUGUUUCAAUUCUUGUUGGUUUCUAUCAUUUUAUCUUGUUUUUUGGUGUUGGUGGGCAUUUGUUUGUUUUUAGGUGUUCUCUACUGCUUGUUUUCCAUGUUCUACCUUGUAUCUCCAAUUUAUGUUGACUAAUCUAAUUGGUCAGCUGCUUGAUCUGGGAGGCCUACAAUAUUUAGCAGUUGCAGCCUGAGGUGUGGGUCUGCUAUGUAUUUAGUAGAUUGGAGGCUUGGUUUGAUGUUUAAAGACAUUUUGAGGUGGAUCAUUGUAAGUGUCAUUGUCCCUUGUUUCUUGCUUGUCGGCUGAAUGGUAUGUUUGGCAUUAGGCAAUCUCUUACUGUUUGGAGCUUUGCGAUGUUGUCUAGCUUUGCGAUGCCUGUGACUGUCUGGAGUUUUGUGUAGUUUCCUCUGCUGCUGUGUUAUCUUGCAGGGGUUGUUCAUUGGUUUUUAGUAGGAUGAACUUGUGUUAUUUUUGUUUUCAUCUACAAUGCUAAAACGUGCCCUCUUAGGAAGUUAUUUGUGUAAGUUUUGCACAUGAUCAAUUAAUUUUAACUUAAUUAUAUUUUAUGCCUCAAACUAUAUUGAACUUUAUUAAUAUUUUAGUUAGGGAUUUUUAAUAUUCUUUCCAUUUUUUAGAACAGGACAUUUUCUCAAGCAUGGUUUAUCUCUUCAUGGGUUCCAAAUGUCAUUGUUACUAAGAAGUAAGAAAACAGAAAAUCCACCUCAAGCAUUAAGUAAGAAGCAAUUGUUGAUGAGAGAUUUGAGGUAUCUCUUAUUUUACUCUUCUUAUUUUAAUUAUCAUUUGAUUGUGGUAUUAUAUUGCUAUUGCAAGUUUGUACGUAGUUUAAUAAUGAUUAAAAGUUUUGUAACAUUGUUGAUAAUGGCAUGUGUUAAGUUAAGAGACAAGGUUUGGUGACAUUUCUUAUCUCUUUCUCCUUGUCUUAGUGUUGUUUAAUACUUGUGAAUGUUACUUUUGUUUCUGAGUGUGAGUAUAUAUAUAUAUAUGCACUGCUAUGUAGUGUAAUUUGUAUUGGAAUUUUUGGUUUGUUCUUGUGAUGCACUGCUAUGUAAUCUCAUUAACUUAGCAACAAUGUCUUUGGUUUUGUUUCUGAGUAUAUAUAUGCACUACUAUGUAAUCUCAUUAACUUAAUGUCUUUGAUUAUUUUACAUUUUGUUCACGAAACACUUAUUCAGUGGUUAUAAUUACCAAAUCAAGAUUGAAUAUUUUUUAUCUUACUUAUUUUUUAUGUGUAUUGCUUUGAACUAUUAAUUAGCAUAUAUUGAAUAAUGUUGGGAAAGUUUAGAACAGUAUUUAAUAUUUUUAAAACGUAAUUUUUUUUAAAAUUUGCCAAACUUUUUACGUCGGUUGCACUAUAACCGAUCUAAUAGGUGCUGUCUUAGGUCGGGUCAAAAUCCGUAUUAACAACUACAUACUUCUUAUGUCGGCUUUUCUUGUGUCGGACGCGGAACGAUGUAAAAGGUCAAUUUUAACCGUCUUAAAAGCUCUUUCUUAGGUCGGUUCAAAAGCCGUGUUAACAACUCCAGACUUCUUAUGUCGGCUUUUCUUAGGUCAGACACGGAACCGACUUAAAAGGUCAAUUUUAACUGACUUAAAAAGCGUUUUUUCCAC